rnacentral:rRNA from 1 species
GGAAUCUUCGGCAAUGGGGGCAACCCUGACCGAGCAACGCCGCGUGAGUGAAGAAGGUUUUCGGAUCGUAAAGCUCUGUUGUAAGAGAAGAACGUGUGUGAGAGUGGAAAGUUCACACAGUGACGGUAACUUACCAGAAAGGGACGGCUAACUACGUGCCAN